GCCCCACCAGUGCAGCAGGGAUGGCCCCCCACCCCAUGGUGCCCCCCCACCCAGCACCCCUGGCUUGCUGCACCAACUCCCAGGUCAGCACUGGGCCUGCAUAUGGCAUGGGGGAUAGCGACAUGCCCACACUAGAUUUUGAGGAGGGGGAGCUCCCACAUGAGGAGCCGGGGGAGACAUUCUCCAUCACAGGCAGCCUGUCCCCGGAUCACUUCUUUUCCACACAGCCACCCCCUUCCCCCCCCCCUCUUUCCCCACCCGAAUCUGCCAGCUACGAGCCUUCCACCCACCAUGCAAACCAUGAAUCCUCGGCCCGGAGGCACUCCAUUUGCCCCCGGCAAGUUUGGGGUGCACAGGCAUCAAGGGCUACCCAGGGUACGGAGGCACGGCAGCGCCACCGUGCUGCUGGUGCCGCCAUCGGGGUGCCAGACAGCCUCCAACCGUCCACCACCCAAAUCAGGAGCACAGGCGUUCGGAGGGCAGCCUCCACACGAUCUACCUCACCAGGGGUACCCUGCCUGUACAGCAGUCCUACACCCACUGGCACUACCUACCACCACAGCAGACCCAGGCUACGCGACACAUCUGGGCAUCGCCCGAGAUUUCAGCCGGUAGCGGUACCUGCAACCUCCCCUCCAGUCGAUCACGACAUACCCACGCAGGACCGGAGUCCAACAGGUGAGCUUUCAUGCAUCAGGGCAUGGGGCCAACAGGCCCAUGGUAGCACAGAAAUCUUGGCAGCCUUGCAUGCCAUUAUGGAUAAGAUAGGCCCCUCCAAUUCAGGUACAAACAUUUCCCCUCCUUGUCCACUGAAGGAUACUUACUUCUGUGGCAUAUCCCCCCUGGGCUGCCAUCUGUCCGGGGAAAUUAGAGAAAAAAUUUGGCGAAACGAAUACAUAGACAUUUGGUCCCUCAUCUCGCUAGAGCAGCCUACAGUGGACAAGGAAAGGAGGUUUGACAGGGCGGAUGACAAGAAGCCAAAGGUUGCCAAGACAUUUGGCAACUGGCUUCAGGCAUUUUCUGUCCUCGCAUGCGUCAUAGGCCAAAAAUACCCGUCCAAAUGUUCCGAGCUUUUUGUCUAUUUAGAUUCCAUUUACGGCGCCUACAGGACGCACGGGGGCGCCUCAUGGUGGCGCUACGAUGAGGAAUUUAGGCGCAGGAUGGCUCUAAAGCCGGAAUUGGGAUGGGAUAUGAAAGCCACCGAUGCAUGGCUCAGAAUCAUGAUGACCCCUAAGCCGCCCUUUCAGUACGGUGCCGCUGCGCCCUCCAACACCGGGUCCCAGGGCACAGCGGCCACAAGACGCCCCGGAGUCUGCUGGCUCUUUAACGAAGGGCACUGCAGAUUUUUCGGUACGUGUAAAUUCAAGCACGAAUGUAACUUUUGCGGCGGGGCCCAUUCGGCCCUGCGAUGCUUCAAAAAAACCAGGGUACCACCAAAAGCUACAACAAGCGUUCGCGGCGAAGACGCCGGUGAACGUACAAAGGAUGUCACCAUGGCUAGACCUAUACCACAGGAAGGGGGAAGCCGCAUUAAUUAGGGAUGGUUUUACAUACGGCUUCUUUAUCCCCUUCACACCAAAUUCCCAACCAACUUUUGCAGACAACCUAAAAUCGGUACCAGACAACAAGGAAGUAGUGGCAACCAAACUGAGGAACGAAGUGGCACUGGGCCGCAUGGCCGGCCCUUUCGCUUCCUUGCCUUUCCCAAACCUACGAGUUUCCCCCUUGGGUGUCGUUCCAAAGAAAGAGCCGGGAAAAUUCAGGCUCAUCCACCACCUAUCUCACCCAAGGGGAAAAUCAGUGAAUGAUGGGAUUAGCAAGGAAGCCGCAGCAGUCUCAUAUGUGUCCUUUGAUCGGGCGGUAUCCCUGGUACGCCAGGCAGGGAGGGGAGCGUUGUUAGCGAAGUCGGACAUCGAGUCCGCCUUCCGCCUGCUCCCGGUCCACAGCGACUGCUACCACCUAUUGGGCUGCCAGUUCGAAGGCCAGUUCUAUUUUGACAUGUGCCUUCCCAUGGGCUGCUCAAUAUCGUGUCGCUACUUCGAAUGUUUUAGCACUUUUCUCGAAUGGGUAGUCAGACACGAAACCGGAAUUAACUCCGUCAUUCAUUACUUGGAUGAUUUCCUGUUCGUAGGCCCCCAAGCCACAAACGUGUGCCAGCUACUGCUGAGCACAUUCCAAUUUUUUAUGUCAAAAUUUGGAGUUCCCCUGUCGAAAGAAAAAACGGAGGGACCAACCACCGUUUUGUCUUUUCUGGGCAUCGAAGUUGAUACGACAGCCCUAGUUUUCCGCCUCCCGGAAGACAAGCUGCAAAGACUAAAAGGUACAGUAGCCGAAAUGCUAGCAGCUAAGAAGGCGACGCUGCGCAACAUGCAGUCAUUACUGGGCCUGUUGGUCUUUGCUUGCCGCAUAAUGCCAAUAGCACGGGUUUUCUCGCGCAGGCUAUCCCUAGCCACGCGAGGCAUUAAGCAACCCCAUCAUUUCAUUAGGAUCACCAAACAAUUGAGGGAAGACCUGAGGGUCUGGCAAACAUUCUUAGAGCACUACAAUGGGCACACCUGCCUCAUGGACACUGAAGUGUCCAAUGAGGAGCUGAGCUUGUUCACGGACGCGGCCGGCUCCACUGGGUUCGGAGCCAUUCUCGCCCAGAGCUGGUGCGCAGAGCAAUGGCCCGACAGCUGGGCCUCGGUUGGGCUAUGCAAAAACUGACCCUGCUGGAGCUGUUCCCCAUAGUGGUGGCGGUUCAGAUAUGGGGACAGAGAAUAUCAGGGAAAAAGAUAUGUUUUUGGACAGACAACAUGAGCGUGGUAUUUGCAAUAAACAGAUUAACUUCCUCUUCCCUACCAGUGCUUGCCCUGCUGAGACAUUUAGUCUUGCGCUGCCUUGAUUUUAACAUAUGGUUCCGGGCACGACAUGUGCCGGGGCGCGCUAAUACUGCCGCUGAUGCCCUGUCUCGUUUUCAGUGGCGGACCUUCAGGGAGCUGGUGCCAGCAGCGGAACAGGAGGGGACAGAAUGCCCAGUAUUCCUAUGGCGCUUGGUGGAGGACAACUGCUGAGCAUGGUCAGGUCCUCGGUAACCCCAGCUACGUGGCAAGCAUACGGUAACGCAUGGAGUUCCACUACGCCAGUAGUUCUGCUGGUUGGGCACUCCUACCUCCGUCGGGCGGAGAGACGAGCGGCAAUUCGUCCGGGCGGCAGGAACCUCGGUUUCCAUGGGGUUGACAUGGUAUGGAAGGGAAUUAGCGGCCUGCGGUGGUUACAAGUUUUACCAGAAGUGUUCUCCUUCAGUAGAAUUUACAACGGCCCGAUAGUAUUAGUCGUGCAUGCGGGUGGCAAUGACCUCGGCACGGUCAAGGUAGCAGAACUCAUAACCCUAAUUAAGUCUGAUCUAGAACGCUGCGCCUCGCUGUUCACCAAGGUUGUUAUCGUAUGGUCCGAAAUUGUCCCUAGGCUGGUCUGGAGGGGGGCUAGGAAGUUUGCUGCGAUUGAUCAGGCACGCAAGCUCCUGAAUGCGAGGAUCUCCCGUUUUGUCAGAAGUAAAGGGUGGGUAGCAUGGCGGCACUGCCACCUGGAGGGUGAUACGUACAGAUUUUUGACCCAGGACGGUGUACACCUUAACGACAUAGGGCAUGAUAUUUUCCUGUCCGGUUUACAGGAUGGCAUUGAGCGGGCACUAGGGCUUUUAGUGGGUGGGGGUCGGAGUUCAAGUAGGGAUACAUGAACUCCUCCUGGCGGGGGACAGUCCUUGGCCAUUUAUUUUCUGGUGGUGUUUUGAGGGUUUUUCACAUGCCCACUGCUUUGCAGUGGCCGGCAUUCGUUUGAAACAGUUAAAUAAAAAAAAAAAA